rnacentral:rRNA from 1 species
CCUACGGGUGGCUGCAGUGGGGAAUAUUGCACAAUGGGCGCAAGCCUGAUGCAGCCAUGCCGCGUGUGUGAAGAAGGCCUUCGGGUUGUAAAGCACCUUCAGCGGGGAGGAAGGCGGUGAGGUUAAUAACCUCAUCGAUUGACGUUACCCGCUGAAGAAGCACCGGCUAACUCCGUGCCAGCAGCCGCGGUAAUACGGAGGGUGCAAGCGUUAAUCGGAAUUACUGGGCGUAAAGCGCACGCAGGCGGUCUGUCAAGUCGGAUGUGAAAUCCCCGGGCUCAACCUGGGAACUGCAUUCGAAACUGGCAGGCUAGAGUCUUGUAGAGGGGGGUAGAAUUCCAGGUGUAGCGGUGAAAUGCGUAGAGAUCUGGAGGAAUACCGGUGGCGAAGGCGGCCCCCUGGACAAAGACUGACGCUCAGGUGCGAAAGCGUGGGGAGCAAACAGGAUUAGAUACCCGAGUAGUC